AGUAUAUGAUACAGCGAUGGUUUACCAACUUAAUAGUAUAGAGACUUAACGAAUAAAACGAAUGGCUCGGGAGAAAUAUUGAACGAAUUCGCUUCCCCAGAUUGAAAAUUAUUUUUAACAAUGUAAUGUCACACAACAAUAGAAUAAUUAAAAAGAAAAUGUGCUGAAAUUGUCAAUGCGUUAUAUUGGGGAGUGUGAGAGCGGUGCCUUUCGUGGCUAUGUGAGUUUCAUAAUUUUAGCACUCACCCCCCUACCCCC